UACGGGGGGGGGCAAGCGUUGUUCGGAAUUACUGGGCGUAAAGGGCUCGUAGGCGGCCAACUAAGUCAUACGUGAAAUCCCUCGGCUUAACCGGGGAACUGCGUCUGAUACUGGAUGGCUUGAGUUCGGGAGAGGGAUGCGGAAUUCCAGGUGUAGCGGUGAAAUUCGUAGAUAUCGGGAGGAACACCAGUGGCGAAGGCGGCGAUCUGGGUCGAUACUGACGCUGAGGUGCGAAAGCGUGGGGAGCAAACAGG
rnacentral:rRNA from 1 species